UUUAAGUGCAGCCAUAAACUUCCGUAUCUAAUUUUAAUUAUUCGUUUAUUUAAAAAAUUUAUAAUUAGUAUUUUUAUCGUUAUUAGAUGAUAAAAUAUAAAUAAUACUUUAUGUGUGACUUGUGUUUUUAAUUUUUUCUAAAAAAACUUUUUAAAUAAGACGUACGAUCAAAGUUUGGCAUGAAAAAUUAUAUCAACACUUAAA
rfam:Oryza barthii chromosome 7, whole genome shotgun sequence.